rnacentral:rRNA from 1 species
UACAGAGGAUGCAAGCGUUAUCCGGAAUGAUUGGGCGUAAAGCGUCUGUAGGUGGCUUUUUAAGUCCGCCGUCAAAUCCCAGGGCUCAACUCUGGACAGGCGGUGGAAACUACCAAGCUGGAGUACGGUAGGGGCAGAGGGAAUUUCCGGUGGAGCGGUGAAAUGCGUAGAGAUCGGAAAGAACACCAAUGGCGAAGGCAGUCCGCUGGGCCGUUGCUGACGCUGAGGCGCGACAGCGUGGGGAGCAAACAGG